rnacentral:rRNA from 1 species
CGUAGGGUGCGAGCGUUAAUCGGAAUUACUGGGCGUAAAGUGUGCGCAGGCGGCCGAGCAAGUCGAGUGUGAAAGCCCCGGGCUUAACUUGGGAAUUGCGCUCGAAACUACUUGGCUGGAGUGUGGCAGAGGAAGGUGGAAUUCCACGUGUAGCGGUGAAAUGCGUAGAGAUGUGGAGGAACACCGAUGGCGAAGGCAGCCUUCUGGGCCAACACUGACGCUCAUGCACGAAAGCGUGGGGAGCAAACAGGAUUAGAUACCCUGGUAGUCCACGCCCUAAACGAUGAUGACUAGUUGUUGGGGGAGGUUAAAAUCCCUUAGUAAACGCAGCUAACGCGUGAAGUCAUCCGCCUGGGGAGUACGGUCGCAAGAUUA